UCUACAACCUGUCAUUCCUGUCCUCAAGAAUAUCUAAUGCAUACUUCCGUUGUGAGAUCACAAUAUCUGAGCUAGACUGAGCGACCUCAAUACCCAGAAAAUACUUUAGUGCCCAGAUCCUUAGUCUGAAAGUGUUGAAAGAGAUGUUGCUUCAAUUUAGUAAUACCAUCCUGGUCAUUGCCGGUAAUAACGAUGUCGUCAACAUAG
rnacentral:lncRNA from 1 species